ACACAGAGGCCGCCCGCCAAGUAUGGUGCCAUUCCGAGUCCCGCGGACGAACUUCGCCCACGCCCCCCACCAAGGCUAUAGCCCACGCGUUUUUUGGCCUUUUUUCCGCUGGGGGGUCUUGGGACCCCGACCUUCGGGGGCUGAUUUUUGGGCGCGGCUGUGCCCGUGGCCUAUUUUUGGCACACCGAGGCCGCCCGCCAAGUAUGGUGCCAUUCCGAGUCCCGCGGACGAACUUCGCCCACGUCCCCCACCAAAGCUAUAGCCCACGCGUUUUUUGGCCAUUUUUCCGCUGGGGGGUAUUGGGACCCCGACCUUCGGGGGCUGAUUUUUGGGCGCGGCUGUGCCCGUGGCCUAUUUUUGGCACACAGAGGCCGCCCGCCAAGUAUGGUGCCAUUCCGAGUCCCGCGGACGAACUUCGCCCACGCCCCCCACCAAGGCUAUAGCGCACCCGUUUUUUGGCCAUUUUUCCGCCGGGGGGUCUUGGGACCCCGACCUUCGGGGGCUGAUUUUUGGGCGCGGCUGUGCCCGUGGCCUAUUUUUAGCACACGGAGGCCGCCCGCCAAGUAUGGUGCCAUUCCGAGUCCCGCGGACGAACUUCGCCCACGCCCCCCACCAAGGCUAUAGCCCACGCGUUUUUUGACCAUUUUUCCGCUGGGGGGUCUUGGGACCCCGACCUUCGGGGGCUGAUUUUUGGGCGCGGCUGUGCCCGUGGCCUAUUUUUGGCACACCGAGGCCGCCCGCCAAGUAUGGUGCCAUUCCGAGUCCCGCGGACGAACUUCGCCCACGCCCCCCACCAAGGCUAUAGCCCACGCGUUUUUUGACCAUUUUUCCGCUGGGGGGUCUUGGGACCCCGACGUUCGGGGGCUGAUUUUUGGGCGCGGCUGUGCCCGUGGCCUAUUUUUGGCACACGGAGGCCGCCCGCCAAGUAUGGUGCCAUUCCGAGUCCCACGGACGAACUUCGCCCACGCCCCCCACCAAGGCUAUAGCCCACGCGUUUUUUGGCCAUUUUUCCGCUGGGGGGUCUUGGGACCCCGACCUUCGGGGGCUGAUUUUUGGGCGCGGCUGUUCCCGUGGCCUAUUUUUGGCACACAGAGGCCGCCCGCCAAGUAUGGUGCCAUUCCGAGUCCCGCGGACGAACUUCGCCUACGCCCCCCACCAAGGCUAUAGCCCACCCUUUUUUUGGCCAUUUUUCCGCUGGGGGGUCUUGGGACCCCGACCUUCGGGGGCUGAUUUUUGGGCGCGGCUGUGCCCGUGGCCUAUUUUUGGCACACGGAGGCCGCCCGCCAAGUCUGGGGCCAUUCCGAGUCCCGCGGACGAACUUCGCCCACGCCCCCCACCAAGGCUAUAGCCCACCCUUUUUUUGGCCAUUUUUCCGCUGGGGGGUCUUGGGACCCCGACCUUCGGGGGCUGAUUUUUGGGCGCGGCUGUGCACGUGGCCUAUUUUUGGCACACAGAGGCCGCCCGCCAAGUAUGGUGCCAUUCCGAGUCCCGCGGACGAACUUCGCCCACGCCCCCCACCAAGGCUAUAGCCCACGCGUUUUUUGGCCAUUUUUCCGCUGGGGGGACUUGGGACCCCGACCUUCGGGGGCUGAUUUUUGGGCGCGGCUGUGCCCGUGGCCUAUUUUUGGCACACAGAGGCCGCCCGCCAAGUCUGGUGCCAUUCAGAGUCCCGCGGACGAACUUCGCCCACGCCCCCCACCAAGGCUAUAGCCCACGCGUUUUUUGGCCAUUUUUCCGCUGGGGGGUCUUGGGACCCCGACCUUCGGGGGCUGAUUUUUGGGCGCGGCUGUGCCCGUGGCCUAUUUUUGGCACACGGAGGCCGCCCGCCAAGUAUGGUGCCAUUCCGAGUCCCGCGGACGAACUUCGCCCACGCCCCCCACCAAGGCUAUAGCCCACCCGUUUUUUGGCCAUUUUUCCGCUGGGGGGUCUUGGGACCCCGACCUUCGGGGGCUGAUUUUUGGGCGCGGCUGUGCCCGUGGCCUAUUUUUGGCACACAGAGGCCGCCCGCCUAGUAUGGUGCCAUUCCGAGUCCCGCGGACGAACUUCGCCCACGCCCCCCACCAAGGCUAUAGCCCACCCGUUUUUUGGCCAUUUUUCCGCUGGGGGGUCUUGGGACCCCGACCUUCGGGGGCUGAUUUUUGGGCGCGGCUGUGCCCGUGGCCUAUUUUUGGCACACAGAGGCCGCCCGCCAAGUAUGGUGCCAUUCCGAGUCCCGCGGACGAACUUCGCCCACGCCCCCCACCAAGGCUAUAGCCCACCCGUUUCUUGGCCAUUUUUCCGCUGGGGGGUCUUGGGACCCCGACCUUCGGGGGCUGAUUUUUGGGCGCGGCUGUGCCCGUGGCCUAUUUUUGGCACACCGAGGCCGCCCGCCAAGUAUGGUGCCAUUCCGAGUCCCGCGGACGAACUUCGCCCACGCCCCCCACCAAGGCUAUAGCCCACGCGUUUUUUGGCCAUUUUUCCGCUGGGGGGUCUUGGGACCCCGACCUUCGGGGGCUGAUUUUUGGGCGCGGCUGUGCCCGUGGCCUAUUUUUGGCACACAGAGGCCGCCCGCCAAGUAUGGUGCCAUUCCGAGUCCCGCGGACGAACUUCGCCCACGCCCCCCACCAAGGCUAUAGCGCACCCGUUUUUUGGCCAUUUUUCCGCCGGGGGGUCUUGGGACCCCGACCUUCGGGGGCUGAUUUUUGGGCGCGGCUGUGCCCGUGGCCUAUUUUUAGCACACGGAGGCCGCCCGCCAAGUAUGGUGCCAUUCCGAGUCCCGCGGACGAACUUCGCCCACGCCCCCCACCAAGGCUAUAGCCCACGCGUUUUUUGACCAUUUUUCCGCUGGGGGGUCUUGGGACCCCGACCUUCGGGGGCUGAUUUUUGGGCGCGGCUGUGCCCGUGGCCUAUUUUUGGCACACCGAGGCCGCCCGCCAAGUAUGGUGCCAUUCCGAGUCCCGCGGACGAACUUCGCCCACGCCCCCCACCAAGGCUAUAGCCCACGCGUUUUUUGACCAUUUUUCCGCUGGGGGGUCUUGGGACCCCGACGUUCGGGGGCUGAUUUUUGGGCGCGGCUGUGCCCGUGGCCUAUUUUUGGCACACGGAGGCCGCCCGCCAAGUAUGGUGCCAUUCCGAGUCCCACGGACGAACUUCGCCCACGCCCCCCACCAAGGCUAUAGCCCACGCGUUUUUUGGCCAUUUUUCCGCUGGGGGGUCUUGGGACCCCGACCUUCGGGGGCUGAUUUUUGGGCGCGGCUGUGCCCGUGGCCUAUUUUUGGCACACGGAGGCCGCCCGCCAAGUAUGGUGCCAUUCUGAGUCCCGCGGACGAACUUCGCCCACGCCCCCCACCAAGGCUAUAGCCCACCCGUUUUUUGGCCAUUUUUCCGCUGGGGGGUCUUUGGACCCCGACCUUCGGGGGCUGAUUUUUGGGCGCGGCUGUGCCCGUGGCCUAUUUUUGGCACACAGAGGCCGCCCGCCUAGUAUGGUGCCAUUCCGAGUCCCGCGGACGAACUUCGCCCACGCCCCCCACCAAGGCUAUAGCCCACGCGUUUUUUGGCCUUUUUUCCGCUGGGGGGUCUUGGGACCCCGACCUUCGGGGGCUGAUUUUUGGGCGCGGCUGUGCCCGUGGCCUAUUUUUGGCACACAGAGGCCGCCCGCCAAGUAUGGUGCCAUUCCGAGUCCCGCGGACGAACUUCGCCCACGCCCCCCACCAAGGCUAUAGCCCACGCGUUUUUUGGCCAUUUUUCCGCUGGGGGGUUUUGGGACCCCGACCUUCGGGGGCUGAUUUUUGGGCGUGGCUGUGCCCGUGGCCUAUUUUUGGCACACGGAGGCCGCCCGCCAAGUAUGGUGCCAUUCCGAGUCCCGCGGACGAACUUCGCCCACGCCCCCCACCAAGGCUAUAGCCCACCCGUUUUUUGGCCAUUUUU
rnacentral:lncRNA from 1 species